GCACAAAACCCUGUACCUAAAUAGCCCAGGCUGACUGUGGGAUUGUGGGUAAGUGAGAGCGUGUGUAUUUUAGGAAAUCAACAUGCUAGGGUGAUGCUGUCGCUUAAGUACAUUUGGCUUAGAAACUUCAGGCUCUGCUUCUGAGAGCAAACACCUCAUUUGAAUUGCCACACGUGGGCCCAUGGCAUCCUGCUCCUCUCCUCCAUGAAGGCUCUACAGCAGGCCUGGAGAGGCUGAGCAGCCGCUGCAGAAGGUGCUGAGCAUCCUAACGUUGCUUGAAAGCAUCUCAGUGUUUUCCAAGUUAGAGAGGAUGGCGGAAUGGGUUACUUCCCCAAAGGGAGAAACGCAUACUGAGAUACGGCCACGCUGCCUCGAGCCAGGAAGAGUCCUCGGAUCUUCGAGAGGCUCCAGGUGCUUGGCAGGUGUUAGGUGCUUUCCACGUGGACAGUUGUGACAACUUCUUGAGGGGAUCUGCCCUGGAACACGGGCUGGGGCCGGUGAACUGGGCAAAAGCAGCGAAAGAAAAGUGAACCGCUCAGCUGCACCUCUCCUUCACCACGAUCCAAGAGUUUGAUUUUAAAGCUUCUCACAGAAGAGGGUAUACCCUGGUUUUGUGUUGGAAGGUACUGGGCAGAGCAGCCAAGCUUUGGUUUCACUUAAUUUUUAUUUAUUUUUGAACAGCUGAGCCAGCAAUAGACACUGAGAACAGAAAUGCUGAAUGCCCUUUAUCUGCAGUGCCACUAAUGGGAGACACUUAUUCCUAUUUGAUUGAAAACUGCAAUUCUUUAAUGUAAGCAAAAUGGUAGCAUGAAAGUGAAUUGUGCUUUUAACAAAUACACUGAUUCAGGAGCAGGCCCCUGUAGCCAGGAGUCCCUGGGUCCUGCUAAUUGAAAAACGUACUCUCGUCUGUCUUUAAUUCUCAGAAUAAAUGGUUAUAAAUGA